rnacentral:rRNA from 1 species
UCGAUUCCCUUAGUAGCGGCGAGCGAAACGGGAAGAGCCCAAACCAACAAGCUUGCUUGUUGGGGUUGUAGGACACUCUAUACGGAGUUACAAAGGACGACAUUAGACGAAUCAUCUGGAAAGAUGAAUCAAAGAAGGUAAUAAUCCUGUAGUCGAAAAUGUUGUCUCUCUUGAGUGGAUCCUGAGUACGACGGAGCACGUGAAAUUCCGUCGGAAUCUGGGAGGACCAUCUCCUAAGGCUAAAUACUCUCUAGUGACCGAUAGUGAACCAGUACCGUGAG